UGGGAAUUUUGGACGAAUUGGGCGAAAGCCUGAUCCAGCAAUGCCGCGUGUGUGAAGAAGGCCUUCGGGUUGUAAAGCACUUUUUGUCCGGAAAGAAAUCCUUGGCUCUAAUACAGUCGGGGGAUGACGGUACCGGAAGAAUAAGCACCGGCUAACUACGUGCCAGCAGCCGCGGUAAUACGUAGGGUGCAAGCGUUAAUCGGAAUUACUGGGCGUAAAGCGUGCGCAGGCGGUUUGCUAAGACCGAUGUGAAAUCCCCGGGCUCACUGGGAACUGCAUUGGUGACUGGCAGGCUAGAGUAUGGCAGAGGGGGGUGAGAAUUCCACGUGUAGCAGUGAAAUGCGUAGAGAUGUGGAGGAAUACCGAUGGCGAAGGCAGCCCCUGGCAAGUCACUGACGCUCAUGCACGAAAGCGUGGGGAGCAAACGGAUUAAUNCCCUGGUAGUCCACGCCCUAAANGAUGUCAAC
rnacentral:rRNA from 1 species